CCAGCCCCUGUGAGAAGAAACAUCUAGAGACAGGAGAAGCCUUCACACCUUUGACACAUGGGCUAAUUUGCAUCUAAAAUAAGAAAGUAAGCUAUAAAACGAUGUGGUUUAUAUGUUGUGGUGUUCUUUUAAUGAUCUUUUCGAAAGGUGUUCUCGGCGCGUCGCAAGAGUCCGCUUUAUGGUACAAUCGUGAAUCUUUGUCGCAGGCCCAGUAUUAAGUAGUUGCUCUUUGCUCUUAGUGGUCUCUUUCCUUCCGGAAGCUCCUCUGCCCCCGCACCCCCCUGAUGUUUAAGCCUCGUGUAGGAUAUGUCAGCAGUGUAGGGCCCACCUUGGACGCCAUGUGGAGAGACCCUGCCCUUUCUGGGGAAGGACACUGCCUAGGCCACCCCGUUGGAGGCCCCAGCAUCUCAGCUUGAACAGCGUCUCUGGAUUCAGCAGAAGACGGACUGGCACAGCGGGGGCCUGGGCUCGGCUCAAGGACCCCACUGCUGAAGGGCCCUGUUUCCAUAGGAGACUUGCCAGGGCAACCUCCAUCGAGGCUUUGGGAAAACAUGGCCGUGUCCGAGCUCGGUGCACAGAGGCUGCUCGUCCAGGGCCUGGCACGGCUUGGUGGGGUAGCGCGUGAGCAGGUUCUGGCGGUAUCAAGUACAAGCCUGUGGCACAGUCUGUAAAUACAUUUUUAAAGGUGGAUUUUGUUUAAAAAAUCUGAAUGAACAAGUCUGUCGGGUCCUCCUGCUGAGGGAUGUCAGAACGUGGCUCCGCCCACAAGCGAGGCCUGCAGCUGCUGGAACCCACCCUGAGGAGUGGACCUGGGGAGGGUCCUGCCUCCACCCGCAGCCUCGGCAGCUUCUCGGCCCUGGUGGGGGCGACACUAUGCCACCCCUAGUGAGCAUGACCGGACACGUCCUAACAUGUUGAUUCUUAAUGUGUUUUAUAAAAUAGAGUGUAGUUUACAGAAAAAGAAAACUUUUUUAAAAAAAGUUAUCUACAUGCAAAACUGUAGGUAAUGAAAAUGAUGUAUUUUUUUUCAUCUUUUUUUGUUAACUGAUUUGCAAUAAAAGUGAUGCUGUUGGUCAUCCAGAUUUUGUUAAACUCGGCCACGGUGUUUGCUCACUUUCUGGGAGGGAGGGAAGGCCCUUCUCUGAGGUAACCAGGAGUCCUUCUGCCCUUUCUGGCGGAGAGCGAUGGAGAGAGACCAGCCAGCCCUGGCCCACGGGUGCUGGGGCCACACUGUCUCUUCAGAAGUUCUGCCGGUGUCUCUGCGUCUGCCUGGGCCGGGCCCCGUGUAGGGACGGGGACACGGCAGUGAGCAGGGCUUGUGCAGCCCCAUUGCAGGGGACUCGCAUGUCUGGGGUGACGUAGCUAUGGGGACACCAGGCGCUAGACUCUCCCACCUGUCUGGGCCACAGAAGGGUGAGGCAUGGCUUACGCAGCCCAGGGAGCCCGCAGCAGGCAGGAGGGCCGCGAGGAGUGGCCUGGAGGCCACAGAGGAAUCCAGACCCUAGCGGAGGGUGAAGGGAGCCACGGAAGCAUCUGAGCAGAAGCACCGUGGGGUGACACAGUGAGUGGGGAAGGCUCCGCACACCCAACGGGGCCCUGGCUGAGCAGCACUGUUAACUCGGGAAUCCUGAGCAGGGCCCUCAGACCCGGCUCCCUGCCAGGGACCCAGAUGGGCCUCCCCUUCUCUCUCCCGCCUCUGCCUGUGCCUCUGCCUGGCCCCACCCCCAGGCCAGUGGAUUCAAACCAGAUGAAAGGGAGAGUCUGAAACCCCUUCUACUGCCCCGGGCCCGGCCUAUCCAAGCACAGGUGUGAACACAAGGUUUCCUCACUGUGUUUGGAUGCUUCGUUCCUGCCUGGCGUGGUGCUGGGCACCAGGACACGUGGACAGGACAAGAGUUUCCAGGAAAUGGAAAAGGGCAAGUGGCCCAACUUUCACCUUCAGAGGGAGUGGACUCAGCCUGAAUUCUGCCCAAAGAAUUCCCAGCACCCUGAAAUUCCACUCCUAGGUGUACGCCCAAAAGAAGUGAAAACUGUCACGAACAAGUCCAUGUAAACACAUGUUCACAGCAGCGCCGUCCACAGCAGCCAAGCGGUGGGAGCGCCCCCAAUGCCCGUCAGCUGAUGGAUGGAUGAGCAGCCUGUGGUGGACCCGCGCUCAGAUGAUUACUUUUAUGUGUCAAUUUGGCUGAGCCAUGUGGCCAAACCUGCGGGUGUUUCUGGAUAAGGUUAACAUUUGAAUGAGUGGCCUGAGGGAGGCAGAUUCUCUCUCCCCGAUGUCGCUGGGCCUCAUCCAAACAGUCGAAGGCCUGAACAGGACAGAAAGGCUGAGAAGAAGGGACGUCCUCCUGCCUGACCCCUUGGGCUGGAACAUCAGUUUUUUCCUGCCUUUGGGCUUCUGAAACGUCAGCUCUUCCUGGGUCUCAAGCCUGCUGACUUUCAGACGAAAGCUUGCAGCAUCGGCUCUCCUGCAUCUCAGCCGUUCAGACUCAGACUGGAGCUGGACCAUCGGCCCUCCUGGGUCUGCAGCUUGCUCACCACAAGGGAUUUGGGGCUUCUCAGCCUCCGUAAUCAUGUCAGCCAAUUCCUUACAGUAAGUCUCUUUACAUCUAUAUCUAUAUCUAUAUCUGUAUCUGUAUCUCUAUAUAUCUCCUAUUGGUUCUGUUUCUCUGGAGAACCCAGCCUAGUACACAUAUAAUGGACUAUUAUCAGCCAUAGAAAAAGAAGGAAGCCCUGAUACGCACUAGAGCACAGACGAACCUUGAAAACAUCAUGCUGAGUGGCCGGCCGGUGACCCAGUGGUUGAGUUCGCGCGCUCCGCUUCAGCGGCCCGAGGUUUUGCCGGUUUGCAUCCUGGGCACGGACAUGGCACGACUCAUCAGGCCAUGCUGAGGCGGCGUCCCACAUAGCAGAACCAGAGCACAACCAGAGGCACUCACAACUAGGACAUACAUAUGUACUGGGGGCUUUGGGGAGAAGAAAAAAAAAAAAGACUGGCAACAGAUGUUAGCUCAGGGCCAAUCUUUAAAAAAGAAAGAAAGAAAGAAAGAAAGAAAGAAAACAUCACGCUGAGUGAAAGAAGGCAGACACAAAAGGCCACAUAAUGCAUGGCGGCAUUCGUAUGAAACAUCCAGAAUAGGUAAAAUAUCCAAAUAGGUAAAAAUAGAGACAGAAAGCAG
ensembl:lncRNA